AACGAACGCUGGCGGCGUGCCUAACACAUGCAAGUCGAGCGCGAAAUCUCUUUCGGGAGUGAGUAGAGCGGCGGACGGGUGAGUAAUACAUGGGUAAUCUGCCCUCGAGCUUGGGAUAACCCCGCGAAAGUGGGGCUAAUACCUGAUAAGACCACGCAACUUAAGUUGUGCGGUAAAAGGUGGCCUGUAUUUAUACAUGCUAUCACUUGAGGAUGAGCCCGUGGCCUAUCAGCUUGUUGGUGAGGUAAGAGCUUACCAAGGCUAUGACGGGUAGCUGGUCUGAGAGGACGACCAGCCACACUGGGACUGAGACACGGCCCAGACUCCUACGGGAGGCAGCAGUGGGGAAUAUUGGGCAAUGGGCGAAAGCCUGACCCAGCGACGCCGCGUGGGUGAUGAAGGCCUCGGUUGUAACUCCUGUCUUCUUGGGACGAAUAAUGACGGUACCAGAGGAGGAAGACCACGGCUAACUAACGUGCCAGCAGCCGCGGUAAUCU
rnacentral:rRNA from 1 species